UCUCUACCACUGAAACUUCAUCACUACUCAUAACAGCCGAUAUAACCGAACCUUCUUCA
rnacentral:sRNA from 1 species